rnacentral:rRNA from 1 species
CAGCGCCACAAGUGGCAGUCAGCAUUACUGGGCCUAAAGCGUCCGUAGCCGGUUUGGAAAAUCCUUUGUGAAAUCGUCGAGCUUAACUCGGCGGCGUGCAGGGGACACUACCAGACUUGGGACCGGUGAGGAGUCAGAGGAAUUAGAGGGGGAGCGGUAAAAUGCAAUAAUCCUUCUAAGACCACCUGUGGCGAAGGCGUCUGACCAGAACGGAUCCGACGGUGAGGGACGAAAGCUAGGGGAGCGAACCGGAUUAGAUACCCGCGUAGUCC